UACGAAGGGUGCAAACGUUGCUCGGAAUUAUUGGGCGUAAAGCGCACGUAGGCGGCUUAGCAAGUUGGGUGUGAAAGCCCUCGGCUUAACCAAGGAAGUGCAUCCAAAACUGCUGAGCCUGAGUAGUUAAGAGGAUCGCGCAAUUCCCGGUGUAGAGGUGAAAUUCGUAGAUAUCGGGAGGAACACCAGUGGCGAAGGCGGCGAUCUGGGAACAUACUGACGCUGAGGUGCGAAAGCGUGGGGAGCAAACAGG
rnacentral:rRNA from 1 species